GACAGAGGGUGCAAACGUUGUUCGGAAUUACUGGGCGUAAAGCGCGUGUAGGCGGCCCUGCAAGUCGGGUGUGAAAUCCCACGGCUCAACCGUGGAAGUGCACUCGAAACUGCAGGGCUAGAGUCCUGGAGAGGAAGGUGGAAUGCUUGGUGUAGAGGUGAAAUUCGUAGAUAUCAAGCGGAACACCAGUGGCGAAGGCGGUCUGCUGGGCCGUUGCUGACGCUGAGGCGCGACAGCGUGGGGAGCAAACAGG
rnacentral:rRNA from 1 species